rnacentral:rRNA from 1 species
UACGAAGGUGGCAAGCGUUACUCGGAAUUACUAGGCGUAAAGGGCAGGUAGGUGGUUCUGUAAGUCUGUUGUGAAAGCUCCUGGCUUAACUGGGAGAGGUCAACGGAUACUGCAGAACUUGAGUAUAGGAGAGGUUACUGGAAUUCCCGGUGUAGCGGUGAAAUGCGCAGAGAUCGGGAGGAACACCAAUGGCGAAAGCAGGUAACUAGACUAUUACUGACACUCAGCUGCGAAAGCUAGGGGAGCAAACAGG